rnacentral:rRNA from 1 species
AGUGAACGCUGGCGGUAGGCCUAACACAUGCAAGUCGAACGGCAGCACAGUAAGAGCUUGCUCUUACGGGUGGCGAGUGGCGGACGGGUGAGGAAUACAUCGGAAUCUACUUUUUCGUGGGGGAUAACGUAGGGAAACUUACGCUAAUACCGCAUACGACCUACGGGUGAAAGCAGGGGAUCUUCGGACCUUGCGCGAUUGAAUGAGCCGAUGUCGGAUUAGCUAGUUGGCGGGGUAAAGGCCCACCAAGGCGACGAUCCGUAGCUGGUCUGAGAGGAUGAACAGCCACACUGGAACUGAGACACGGUCCAGACUCCUACGGGAGGCAGCAGUGGGGAAUAUUGGACGAUGGGCGCAAGCCUGAUCCAGCCAUACCGCGUGGGGGAAGAAGGCCUUCGGGUUGUAAAGCCCUUUUGUUGGGAAAGAAAAGCAGCAGGUUAAUACCCCGCUGUUCUGACGGUACCCAAAGAAUAAGCACCGGCUAACUUCGUG